rnacentral:rRNA from 1 species
UCUCAAUAUGAUGAACUACACCUUGGUGAGGACAAGUCUUCAAGUAAGAGGAAUUGGCAAAAGAGGAAAUAUGGGACAGAUUUGAGGGAUAAAAUAAAUCAGAAGCGUGAUAGGAAUGAUUACAAUGGAAGAAACUCAAAUCAGAAGGUUGACAAGAGGAAAUUUAAUUGCCAUAAUUGUGGUGAACAAGGACACUUCAUAUCUGAGUGCACUAAGGAGAGGAAGCCAGAUGAUAAGAAAUAUAACAACAACCAGUCCAAGCAUCAUGAUAAUAGAAGGGGAAAUUCUUCACCUAAUGUUGGGUGGUUG